GUGUCAGCAGCCGCGGUAAUACGGAGGGUGCAAGCGUUAUCCGGAUUCACUGGGUUUAAAGGGUGCGUAGGCGGGCAUGUAAGUCAGUGGUGAAAUCUCCGGGCUUAACCCGGAAAUUGCCGUUGAUACUAUGUGUCUUGAAUAUCGUUGAGGUUUGCGGAAUAUGUCAUGUAGCGGUGAAAUGCUUAGAUAUGACAUAGAACACCAAUUGCGAAGGCAGCAGGCUAAACGAACAUUGACGCUGAGGCACGAAAGCGUGGGGAUCAAACAGGAUUAGAAACCCCUGUAGUCC
rnacentral:rRNA from 1 species